rnacentral:rRNA from 1 species
CAGUAGCCGCGGGAAUACGGAGGGUGCAAGCGUUAAUCGGAAUUACUGGGCGUAAAGCGCACGCAGGCGGUCUGACAAGUCAGAUGUGAAAUCCCCGGGCUUAACCUGGGAACUGCAUUUGAAACUGUCAGGCUGGAGUCUUGUAGAGGGGGGUAGAAUUCCAGGUGUAGCGGUGAAAUGCGUAGAGAUCUGGAGGAAUACCGGUGGCGAAGGCGGCCACCUGGACAAAGACUGACGCUCAGGUGCGAAAGCGUGGGGAGCAAACAGGAUUAGAUACCCCUGUAGUCCCUGUCUCUUAUAC